rnacentral:lncRNA from 1 species
GACAUAUUUAAUGCGCAAUUGACCAAAUGGUUGGGUGUAAAAAGUUUGGAUCCACCUCUCGUGGAAAGUACAAAUUCUCACCGAUUCAGCCGGAAGCGGGUCAAAUUUAAACUGUAGCUACCUCGUAGUUUGCUCUUUAUUUUUUCCAAAAAUCAUUUCUAGGUACAUAAGUAUCUAAUUAAUCAGAGAAACAUCAAAAUGUCUCCAAGAUUCAACAACUAGCUAGGAACGGUCAAGCCCGCCGUUUUGACCGCAUUUUGAAACGGACAUAAAAAAUUCAAAAAAAAUCAAAAAAUUGGAAAACAUUCGCAUUGUGUCAUCAUAUGUGACCAAGUUUCCAGCAAAAAUAAUGAACUUGUAAUAUGGCAAUUAUUUAAAAAAAGUGUUCUCAGAAACAAGCUAUUAAGUGUGAAGAUUCAUGGCUUUCAAGCCAAAUGAUCAAUCUUAUGGCCACAUUCAUGACAUAGUUUGUUCAAAUGAUCUCAUAUUGUGCGCAAGGGUGCAUCUUGGAAUGGCAGACAAUGUUUUCUAAGGAAGUUUCAUUUUCUUUGGAAGAAAAAUUCAUUUUCCAAUUUUCGAGUGCCCGAAAUGAGUUUUUUAUGAAGGAGCUAUAAUAUAUUUGUUCUAAAAUUGUACCAAAUAAAUUUCCGAAAAUACUAGGACAUAUUUCGUGCAUAAUUGACCAAAUGGUUGGGUGUAAAAAGUUUUGAUCCACCUCUCGUGAAAAGGACAAAUUCUCGCCGAUUCAGCCGGAAGCUGGUCAAAUUUGAGUUUUGCUACCACAUAGUUUGCUGUUUAUUUUUUCAAAAAAUCAUUUCUAGGUACAUAAGUAUCUAUUUAAUCAGAGAAACAUCAAAAGGUCUCCAAGAUUCAACAACUAGCUAGGAACGGUCAAGCCCGUCGUUUUGACCGCAUUUUGAAACGGGCAUAAAAGUUCAAAAAAAAAACAAAAAAUUGGAAACCCUUCGCAUUGUGUCAUCAUAUGUGACCAAGUUUCCAGCAAAAAUAAUAAACUUCUAAUACAGCAAUUAUUUUAAAAAAGUGUUAUCAGAAACGAGCUAUCAAGUGUGAAGAUUCAUGGCUUUCAAGCCAAAUGAUCAAUCUUAUGGCCACAUUCAUGACAUAGUUCGUUCAAAUGAUCUCAUAUUGUGCGCAAGGGUCCAUCUUGGAAUGGCAGACAAUGUUUCCUAAGGAAGUUUUCAUUUUCUUUGGAAGAAAAAUUAAUUUUCCAUUUUUCGAGUGGCCGAAAUGAGUUUUUUUGUGAAGGAGCUAUAAUAUAUUUGUUGCAAAAUUGUACCAAAUUAAUUUCCGAAAAUACUAGGACAUAUUUAAUGCAUAAUUGACCAAAUGGUUGGGUGUAGAAAGUUUUGAUCCACCUCUCGUGAGAAGGACAAAUUCUCGCCGAUUCAGCCGGAAGCGCGUCAAAUUUGAACUAUAGCUACCUCGUAGUUUGCUCUUUAUUUUUUUUCUGAAAAUCAUUUCUAGGUACAUAAGUAUCUAUUUAAUCAGAGAAACAUCAAAAGGUCUCCAAGAUUCAAUAACUAGCUAGGAACGGUCAAGCCCGUCGUUUUGACCGCAUUUUGAAACGGGCAUAAAAAAUUCAAAAAAACAAAAAAUUGGAAACCCUUCGCAUUGUGUCAUCAUAUGUGACCAAGUUUCCGGCAAAAAUAAUAAACUUGUAAUACGGCAAUUAUUUUAAAAAAGUGUUCUCAGAAACGAGCUAUCAAGUGUGAAGAUUCAUGCCUUUCAAGACAAAUGAUCAAUCUUAUGGCCACAUUCAUGACAUAGUUCGUUCAAAUGAUCUCAUAUUGUCCGCAAGGGUGCAUCUUGGAAUGGCUGACAAUUUUUCCUAAGGAAGGUUUCAUUUUCUUUGGAAGAAAAAUUCAUUUUCCAUUUUUCGAGUGCCCGAAAUGAGUUUUUUUGUGAAGGACCUAUAAUAUAUUUGUUGCAAAAUUGUACCAAAUCAAUUUUCUAAAAUACUAGGACAUAUUUAAUGCACAAUUGACCAAAUGGUUGGGUGUAAAAAGUUUGGAUCCACCUCUCGUGGAAAGUACAAAUUCUCACCUAUUCAGCCGGAAGCGGGUCAAAUUUAAACUGUAGCUACCUCGUAGUUUGCUCUUUAUUUUUUCCAAAAAUCAUUUCUAGGUACAUAAGUAUCUAAUUAAUCAGAGAAACAUCAAAAGGUCUCCAAGAUUCAACAACUAGCUAGGAACGGUCAAGCCCGCCGUUUU